rnacentral:rRNA from 10 species
AAAUGACUCUCGGCAACGGAUAUCCCGGCUCUCGCAUCGAUGAAGAACGUAGCGAAAUGCGAUACUUGGUGUGAAUUGCAGAAUCCCGUGAACCAUUGAGUCUUUGAACGCAAGUUGCGCCCGAAGCCACUAGGCUAAGGGCACGUCUGCCUGGGUGUCACGC